UUCAUGCUACUGAUAGCACACAUUACUUACUUGUUUCCUUGUUUACUGUGUAACAAAGGAAAUGAAGAAAAAAUAUCUACAAAACCCACAGACAGGAAUUGUUAGGCAAGAGGACAACCUGGAACACAGCCAGCUACUGACAAACACAUCUGUUCUUUUAAAGAACUCCUUGUAUGAAAAUGGACCUUUCAAUAUUUCAUCAUGGGUAGAAGGCUCAUCAGACCUCACCCACCCUCCGGACCUAUUGACAGUUAAUGACUGGAACCUAUAAACCCUUGGGGACUUCUACCCACAAAAGACAAAAAGAAGAAAUAAAUUCGGGAAGAAAAGUAGUUUUAGAUUGAACAGAAUAAUAUUGAUUAUGGCACAGUGAAAAGAAAGCUCUUCUCGGGGUAUUUUGAGAAAGAAAGAAAAUGGAGCCACUGGAUCUUUAGGUCAGAGAACAGAAAUUAACAAAGCAUCCUCUGUGAUUCCUUCUUCAAAGAGCACUAAUUCAUGAUGAUACCCCACUGUUCACGUCAGCAUCCCAGGACAGUAACAAACAUCUGUUUUAUUCAACUUAUACAGGGAAAGCUUGCUAAAGCGAACUGUGAAAGCCUCCAACCUCCUGCAUCUGUUGCAAUGUUUGGUGGAUUAGAUAUGUGGAAAUCACUGCUGUCCUUCUGAGUCAGUGUUAAAUGGGAUCAGAUGCAAUUAAGAAUUAUUUCAGGGAUACAUAUUACAAUGUGUUGUGUGGGGUCAUUCCCUCCUGCCCAUUCUUCAGCAAUCUGUGUAUGAAAAUGACUCCAAAGACAUCUAUGUAUUUUAAUCAAUACCCUGUUUGUGUCCAGAGAAAAUUCUUUUAUUUACCUAUUUAACUUUCCUAUUAUCCCCUCAUAUGUUACUCUGUUUUCCUCUUUUAUUUUUUCAGUAAACUGCAAUUGACUUAUAGCAAAUUCAUUUCACAGACUGUCACCUCUUCCAUACUCCACUCCACAUCUUCAGUUCAGAAAACUUGCAGCUACACUCCAAAUUAAAUACAAACGAAACUCUGCACUCUGGUUCCUCUCAUUAGUACUCAAGGUUACUGAGCCUUUGAUAUCAAAUAAUAGAUACCCAAGCACAAAGUGGAACCUAUUUGUCACAGACAUGUGAAACACAGAGUUGACAUUAGUUUCAAACACUCUAGAUCCAUAGAUCCAGAGCCUCAGAUCCUCUUAUCAAUACCUGAAGCCUCUCUUCUUUCUUUGUACUGAAUUCAGUGUGAGCUCCCUCCUUCCCAUUGAGGAUGCCUUGCUCUUCCAUGCUUACUUUCUCUAAGCUUCGAUCGAUCUGAAGGUCUCUCAACAAAUCCAACAGAGGUUUGAACCAAAGAUGUCCAAAGACUCAACAGUCUACCCUAUUGUUUUCUACACAUGAACCAUUCUUUGGUUCUGAGAGAGAAAGCUGUGACUAACAACAGUCUUGUGUCAGUGUUCCCUUCCUCAUGUAUGUCACGGAGCCAACUGCACCUGAUAUCCACAUGAAAAGGGGUCAAGUUCCAAACCUGCUGCCGCCAGAAACCACAGAGUGCAUUAUUUUCUUAUUCUAUAUGCCAGUGGAUUGAGGGUGGGGGAGACUAAACAAACAAAAAUCAAACAGCUCGGUUUACAAAUCAUUCCUGACUUGACAUGGCACCGGGUGUGGAGGGGAAUAUCCUGGGCCUGUGUGGAAGCCGUAGCUUUGGGGUCCAAUGUGAGGAUGCUUGGUUCCUGUACUGUCCACUUUUAGUCAAUUUGUCACAACCCAGAGUCAUCAGCAUGG